GUGAAUCAUCGAAUUUUUGAACGCAAAUUGCACUCUCCGGUUUUCCGGGAGAGUAUGCCUGUUUGAGGGUCAGCCUAAAUAAAAUCGGCUUAGUAGUUUGCUGUGUUUUUCACGGUAACGUUGGUCGGAAUUUGGGUCAUCUUAAACCGAAAGGUUUUUAAGCGACUUAAAAUUUUCUUUACGAUUCCACGAACGUUUCUAAGAUAUUUACUUCUUACACGUUUAAGGUAUCGAUCCUUAUUAGACGUGGCCGUUGCAUCGGAUCACGUCCAUAAAUAUUUCGUUAACUGACCUCAGACAG
rnacentral:misc_RNA from 1 species